CCUACGGGUGGCAGCAGUGGGGAAUAUUGCACAAUGGGGGAAACUCUGAUGCAGCGAAGCAGCGUGAGGGAAGAAGGAAUUCGUGAUGUAAAGCUCUAUGAGCAGGGAAGAAAAUGACGGUACGUGAGUCAGAAGCUGUGGCUAACUACGUGCAAGCAGCCGCGGUAAUACGUAGGGGGCAAGCGUUAUCCGGAUUUACUGGGUGUAAAGGGAGGGUAGACGGACGUGCAAGUUUGUAGUGAAAGGCGGGGGCUCAACCCCCGAACUGCUCUGGAAACUGGACGGAUGGAGUGCAGGAGAGGUAAGUGGAAUUCCUGGUGUAGCGGUGAAAUGCUUAGAUAUCAUGAAGACCUCCAGUGGCGAAGGCAGCUUACUGGACUGUAACUGACGUUGAGGCUCGAAAGCGUGGGUAGCAAACAGGAUUAGAUACCCCAGUAGUC
rnacentral:rRNA from 1 species